rnacentral:rRNA from 1 species
UACAGAGGGGGCGAGCGUUAUUCGGAAUUAUUGGGCGUAAAGGGCGCGUAGGCGGCUUGACAAGUCCAAGGUGAAAUCCCUCGGCUCAACCGAGGAACUGCCUUGGAAACUGUCUGGCUCGAGGCCGGGAGAGGGUAGUGGAAUUCCCAGUGUAGCGGUGAAAUGCGUAGAUAUUGGGAGGAACACCGGUGGCGAAGGCGGCUACCUGGACCGGAUCUGACGCUGAUGCGCGAAAGCGUGGGGAGCAAACAGG